GGGUUGUGAGGUUAAGCGACUAAGCGUACACGGUGGAUGCCCUGGCAGUCAGAGGCGAUGAAGGGCGUGCUAAUCUGCGAUAAGCGCCGGUAAGGUGAUAUGAACCGUUAUAACCGGCGAUACCCGAAUGGGGAAACCCAGUGUGACUCGUCACACUAUCAUUAACUGAAUCCAUAGGUUAAUGAGGCGAACCGGGGGAACUGAAACAUCUAAGUACCCCGAGGAAAAGAAAUCAACCGAGAUUCCCCCAGUAGCGGCGAGCGAACGGGGAGGAGCCCAGAGCCUGAAUCAGCAUGUGUGUUAGUGGAAGCGUCUGGAAAGGCGCGCGAUACAGGGUGACAGCCCCGUACACAAAAGCGCAUGUGCUGUGAGCUCGAUGAGUAGGGCGGGACACGUGGUAUCCUGUCUGAAUAUGGGGGGACCAUCCUCCAAGGCUAAAUACUCCUGACUGACCGAUAGUGAACCAGUACCGUGAGGGAAAGGCGAAAAGAACCCCGGCGAGGGGAGUGAAAAAGAACCUGAAACCGUGUACGUACAAGCAGUGGGAGCACCCUUUGGGGUGUGACUGCGUACCUUUUGUAUAAUGGGUCAGCGACUUAUAUUCUGUAGCAAGGUUAACCGAAUAGGGGAGCCGGAGGGAAACCGAGUCUUAAUUGGGCGUUAAGUUGCAGGGUAUAGACCCGAAACCCGGUGAUCUAGCCAUGGGCAGGUUGAAGGUUGGGUAACACUAACUGGAGGACCGAACCGACUAAUGUUGAAAAAUUAGCGGAUGACCUGUGGCUGGGGGUGAAAGGCCAAUCAAACCGGGAGAUAGCUGGUUCUCCCCGAAAGCUAUUUAGGUAGCGCCUCGUGAAUUCAUCUCCGGGGGUAGAGCACUGUUUCGGCUAGGGGGCCAUCCCGGCUUACCAACCCGAUGCAAACUGCGAAUACCGGAGAAUGUUAUCACGGGAGACACACGGCGGGUGCUAACGUCCGUCGUGAAGAGGGAAACAACCCAGACCGCCAGCUAAGGUCCCAAAGUCAUGGUUAAGUGGGAAACGAUGUGGGAAGGCCCAGACAGCCAGGAUGUUGGCUUAGAAGCAGCCAUCAUUUAAAGAAAGCGUAAUAGCUCACUGGUCGAGUCGGCCUGCGCGGAAGAUGUAACGGGGCUAAACCAUGCACCGAAGCUGCGGCAGCGACGCUGAUGCGUUGUUGGGUAGGGGAGCGUUCUGUAAGCCUGCGAAGGUGGCCUGUGAGGGUUGCUGGAGGUAUCAGAAGUGCGAAUGCUGACAUAAGUAACGAUAAAGCGGGUGAAAAGCCCGCUCGCCGGAAGACCAAGGGUUCCUGUCCAACGUUAAUCGGGGCAGGGUGAGUCGACCCCUAAGGCGAGGCCGAAAGGCGUAGUCGAUGGGAAACGGGUUAAUAUUCCCGUACUUGGUGUUACUGCGAAGGGGGGACGGAGAAGGCUAUGUUGGCCGGGCGACGGUUGUCCCGGUUUAAGCGUGUAGGUGUGUGUUCCAGGUAAAUCCGGUUCACUUUAACACUGAGGCGUGAUGACGAGGCACUACGGUGCUGAAGCAACAAAUGCCCUGCUUCCAGGAAAAGCCUCUAAGCAUCAGGUAACAUCAAAUCGUACCCCAAACCGACACAGGUGGUCAGGUAGAGAAUACCAAGGCGCUUGAGAGAACUCGGGUGAAGGAACUAGGCAAAAUGGUGCCGUAACUUCGGGAGAAGGCACGCUGACACGUAGGUGAAGUGAUUUACUCAUGGAGCUGAAGUCAGUCGAAGAUACCAGCUGGCUGCAACUGUUUAUUAAAAACACAGCACUGUGCAAACACGAAAGUGGACGUAUACGGUGUGACGCCUGCCCGGUGCCGGAAGGUUAAUUGAUGGGGUCAGCGCAAGCGAAGCUCCUGAUCGAAGCCCCGGUAAACGGCGGCCGUAACUAUAACGGUCCUAAGGUAGCGAAAUUCCUUGUCGGGUAAGUUCCGACCUGCACGAAUGGCGUAAUGAUGGCCAGGCUGUCUCCACCCGAGACUCAGUGAAAUUGAACUCGCUGUGAAGAUGCAGUGUACCCGCGGCAAGACGGAAAGACCCCGUGAACCUUUACUAUAGCUUGACACUGAACAUUGAGCCUUGAUGUGUAGGAUAGGUGGGAGGCUUUGAAGUGUGGACGCCAGUCUGCAUGGAGCCGGCCUUGAAAUACCACCCUUUAAUGUUUGAUGUUCUAACGUGGACCCGUGAUCCGGGUUGCGGACAGUGUCUGGUGGGUAGUUUGACUGGGGCGGUCUCCUCCUAAAGAGUAACGGAGGAGCACGAAGGUUGGCUAAUCCUGGUCGGACAUCAGGAGGUUAGUGCAAUGGCAUAAGCCAGCUUGACUGCGAGCGUGACGGCGCGAGCAGGUGCGAAAGCAGGUCAUAGUGAUCCGGUGGUUCUGAAUGGAAGGGCCAUCGCUCAACGGAUAAAAGGUACUCCGGGGAUAACAGGCUGAUACCGCCCAAGAGUUCAUAUCGACGGCGGUGUUUGGCACCUCGAUGUCGGCUCAUCACAUCCUGGGGCUGAAGUAGGUCCCAAGGGUAUGGCUGUUCGCCAUUUAAAGUGGUACGCGAGCUGGGUUUAGAACGUCGUGAGACAGUUCGGUCCCUAUCUGCCGUGGGCGCUGGAGAACUGAGGGGGGCUGCUCCUAGUACGAGAGGACCGGAGUGGACGCAUCACUGGUGUUCGGGUUGUCAUGCCAAUGGCACUGCCCGGUAGCUAAAUGCGGAAGAGAUAAGUGCUGAAAGCAUCUAAGCACGAAACUUGCCCCGAGAUGAGUUCUCCCUGAGACUUAGAGUCUCCUGAAGGAACGUUGAAGACGACGACGUUGAUAGGCCGGGUGUGUAAGCGCAGCGAUGCGUUGAGCUAACCGGUACUAAUGAACCGUGAGGCUUAACCUUACAACGCCGAAG
rnacentral:rRNA from 1 species